rnacentral:rRNA from 1 species
UUCCCCUUCGGGGGACAAAGUGACAGGUGGUGCAUGGUUGUCGUCAGCUCGUGUCGUGAGAUGUUGGGUUAAGUCCCGCAACGAGCGCAACCCUUAAGCUUAGUUGCCAUCAUUAAGUUGGGCACUCUAAGUUGACUGCCGGUGACAAACCGGAGGAAGGUGGGGAUGACGUCAAAUCAUCAUGCCCCUUAUGAUUUGGGCUACACACGUGCUACAAUGGACAAUACAAAGGGCAGCGAAACCGCGAGGUCAAGCAAAUCCCAUAAAGUUGUUCUCAGUUCGGAUUGUAGUCUGCAACUCGACUA